ACUGCGUCUGCAUGCGUUCGGCGUCGCGCAGCAGCGACUCCACGCUCAGCGACACCGAGUCGAACUGGACCUGGGACAUUUGCUGGCGAGGGAGGGAACGCAGAGUUCAAAGGUCAAGAGAGCUCCGCGCGUCGGGGCUCGCUUUCCAGUUCUUCCUUGGCCCGCUCCAGAGUGCUUCUUUUCGCCUUUCUUCUGCGCUGUAGAAAUUCUGGGACUGGAUUCGAACCUUCGCGUGGGAAAAUAUGGUUACGGUCGGAUCCCUGACGCAAGAUUGUGAGCGCGCGGAGCACCUGGUGAUGGCGGGGACGGCGCGCGUCACCGAGUUGCAGAGGGCGUCCCGUCCGAUCUUG